GCCGGGGUGGCCGAGCGGUUCUAGGCGCUACGGUUUGGAACCGCUACGGUCGCAGGUUCGAAUCCUGCCUCGGGCA
rnacentral:tRNA from 1 species